GACGAACGCUGGCGGCGUGCUUAACACAUGCAAGUCGAACGGAAAGGCCCUGCUUUUGUGGGGUGCUCGAGUUGCGAACGGGUGAUUAACACGUGAGUAACCUGACCUUGACUUUGGGAUAACUUCAGGUAACUGGGGCUAAUACCGGAUAGGAGCUUCUGCUGCAUGGUGGGGGUUGGAAAGUUUCGGCGGUUGGGGAUGUACUCGCGGCUUAUCAGCUUGUUGGUGGGGUAGUGGCUGACCAAGGCUUUGACGGGUAGCCGGCCUGAGAGGGUGACCGGCCAAAGUGGGAGAGAGAUACGGCCCAGACUCCUACGGGAGGCAGCAGUGGGGAAUAUUGCACAAUGGGCGGAAGCCGGAUGCAGCAACGCCGCGUGCGGGAUGAUGGCCUUCGGGUUGUAAACCGCUUUCGCCUGUGACGAAGCGUGAGUGACGGUAAUGGGUAAAGAAGCACCGGCUAACUACGUG
rnacentral:rRNA from 1 species